AAUGAACGCUGGCGGCGUGCCUAACACAUGCAAGUCGAGCGAGAAAGUCUCUUCGGAGAUAAGUACAGCGGCGGACGGGUGAGUAACGCGUGAGAAUUUACCCUUUAGUGAAGAAUACCUCUGAGAAAUCAGGGUUAAUACUGCAUACGUCCCUACGGGGAGAAAGGUGGCCUCUUUGCUGCCGCUAAAGGAUAAGCUUGCGUACUAUUAGCUAGUUGGUGAGGUAAAGGCUCACCAAGGCGAUGAUGGUUAGCCGGCCUGAGAGGGUGUACGGCCACACUGGAACUUAGACACGGUCCAGACUCCUACGGGAGGCAGCAGUGAGGAAUAUUGCGCAAUGGGCGAAAGCCUGACGCAGCGACGCCGCGUGGAGGAUGAAGGUCUUCGGAUUGUAAACUCCUGUUAAGUGGGAAGAAAGACCUAUUUCUAAUACAGAUAGGGGAUGACGGUACCAUUAGAGAAGCACCGGCUAACUUCGUUCCAGCAGCCGCGGUAA
rnacentral:rRNA from 1 species